GAUGAACGCUGGCGGCGUGCCUAAUACAUGCGAGUCGAGCGAACGGACGAGAAGCUUGCUUCUCUGAUGUUAGCGGCGGACGGGUGAGUAACACGUGGAUAACCUACCUAUAAGACUGGGAUAACUUCGGGAAACCGGAGCUAAUACCGGAUAAUAUUUUGAACCGCAUGGUUCAAAAGUGAAAGACGGUCUUGCUGUCACUUAUAGAUGGAUCCGCGCUGCAUUAGCUAGUUGGUAAGGUAACGGCUUACCAAGGCAACGAUGCAUAGCCGACCUGAGAGUGUGAUCGGCCACACUGGAACUGAGACACGGUCCAGACUCCUACGGGAGGCAGCAGUAGGGAAUCUUCCGCAAUGGGCGAAAGCCUGACGGAGCAACGCCGCGUGAGUGAUGAAGGUCUUCGGAUCGUAAAACUCUGUUAUUAGGGAAGAACAUAUGUGUAAGUAACUGUGCACAUCUUGACGUUACCUAAUCAGAAAGCCACGGCUAACUACGUG
rnacentral:rRNA from 1 species